rnacentral:rRNA from 1 species
GAACGGUGAAGGAGGGCUUGCCCUCCGGAUCAGUGGCGAACGGGUGAGUAACACGUGGGCAACCUGCCCCUCACUCUGGGAUAACGCCGGGAAACCGGCGCUAAUACCGGAUACGACCAGAAGCGACAUCUCUUCUGGUGGAAAGAAUUUCGGUGAGGGAUGGGCCCGCGGCCUAUCAGCUAGUUGGUGGGGUAAUGGCCCACCAAGGCGACGACGGGUAGCCGGCCUGAGAGGGCGACCGGCCACACUGGGACUGAGACACGGCCCAGACUCCUACGGGAGGCAGCAGUGGGGAAUAUUGCGCAAUGGGCGAAAGCCUGACGCAGCGACGCAGCGUGAGGGACGAAGGCCUUCGGGUUGUAAACCUCUUUCAGCGGGGACGAAGCGAAAGUGACGGUACCCGCAGAAGAAGCACCGGCUAACUACGUGCCAGCAGCCGCGGUAAUACGUAGGGUGCAAGCAUUGUCCGGAUUUAUUGGGCGUAAAGAGCUCGUAGGCGGCUUGUCACGUCGGAUGUGAAAACUCGGGGCUCAACCCCGAGCCUGCAUUCGAUACGGGCUAGCUAGAGUGUUGCAGGGGAGACUGGAAUUCCUGGUGUAGCGGUGAAAUGCGCAGAUAUCAGGAGGAACACCGGUGGCGAAGGCGGGUCUCUGGGCAACUACUGACGCUGAGGAGCGAAAGCGUGGGGAGCGAACA